rnacentral:rRNA from 1 species
GAGCCGUGGCUUUCGGAGCUAACGCGUUAAGUAGACCGCCUGGGGAGUACGGUCGCAAGAUUAAAACUCAAAUGAAUUGACGGGGGCCCGCACAAGCGGUGGAGCAUGUGGUUUAAUUCGAUGCAACGCGAAGAACCUUACCUACUCUUGACAUCCAGAGAAUCCAGCGGAGACGCAGGAGUGCCUUCGGGAGCUCUGAGACAGGUGCUGCAUGGCUGUCGUCAGCUCGUGUUGUGAAAUGUUGGGUUAAGUCCCGCAACGAGCGCAACCCUUAUCCUUGUUUGCCAGCGAGUCAUGUCGGGAACUCCAGGGAGACUGCCGGUGAUAAACCGGAGGAAGGUGGGGACGACGUCAAGUCAUCAUGGCCCUUACGAGUAGGGCUACACACGUGCUACAAUGGCGCAUACAGAGGGCAGCGAGCCAGCGAUGGUAAGCGAAUCCCAAAAAGUGCGUCGUAGUCCGGAUUGGAGUCUGCAACUCGACUCCAUGAAGUCGGAAUCGCUAGUAAUCGUGAAUCAGAAUGUCACGGUGAAUACGUUCCCGGGCCUUGUACACACCGCCCGUCACACCAUGGGAGUGGGCUGCAAAAGAAGUAGUUAGUCU